AUUGAACGCUGGCGGCAUGCCUUACACAUGCUAGUCGAACGGCAGCACGGGUGCUUGCACCUGGUGGCGAGUGGCGAACGGGUGAGUAAUACAUCGGAACGUACCUUAUCGUGGGGGAUAACGCAGCGAAAGCUGUGCUAAUACCGCAUACGCCCUGAGGGGGAAAGCGGGGGAUCGCAAGACCUCGCGCGAUUAGAGCGGCCGAUUCCUGAUUAGCUAGUUGGUGGGGUAAAAGCCCACCAAGGCGACGAUCAGUAGCUGGUCUGAGAGGACGAUCAGCCACACUGGGACUGAGACACGGCCCAGACUCCUACGGGAGGCAGCAGUGGGGAAUUUUGGACAAUGGGGGCAACCCUGAUCCAGCAAUGCCGCGUGAGUGAAGAAGGCCUUCGGGUUGUAAAGCUCUUUUGUCAGGGAAGAAACACCGGCUCUAACACAGUCCGGGAAUGACGGUACCUGAAGAAUAAGCACCGGCUAACUACGUGCCAGCCGCCGCAGUAA
rnacentral:rRNA from 1 species